rnacentral:misc_RNA from 1 species
AAGUCAUAACAAGGUUUCUGUAGGUGAACCUGCAGAAGGAUCAUUAGUGAAAACUAGGCGCGACUUUCGAGUUGCGCCGUUUCCCACGAUUCUCACACCUGUGCAUGCGGUCGGAGUAGCCCCUGUCUCUCGCCUAGCGAGUCUGCAGGGGGAUGUCCGGCCGGUAUUUUACCAACACAACUGUCCUAUGGAUGUUGCAAAAGAAAGUCUCGAAAGAGCAAUAGAAAGAAAACUUUCGACAACGGAUCUCUUGGUUCUC